CAGCCGCCGCGGGAAUACGAAGGGUGCAAGCGUUACUCGGAAGUACUGGGCGUAAAGCGUGUGUAGGUGGUUGUUUAAGUCUGUCGUGAAAGCCCUGGGCUCAACCUGGGAAUUGCGAUGGAUACUGGGCGACUAGAGUGCGGUAGAGGAUAGUGGAAUUUCCGGUGUAGCAGUGAAAUGCGUAGAGAUCGGAAGGAACAUCUGUGGCGAAGGCGACUAUCUGGGCCAACACUGACACUGAGACACGAAAGCGUGGGGAGCAAACAGGAUUAGAUACCCCCGUAGUCCCUGUCUCUUAUAC
rnacentral:rRNA from 1 species